CAGAACAGGACCAUGUCAUCAAAUUUAGAGAAACUUGAACUAUGAGUUUGAACCUGCUCUUCCCAAUUCAUGAAUUUUGUAAUGGAGAACAUUGGAUCCAGACAAAUCCUGAUUUAAUUUCAACUUUACACCCUCAGCCAAGCAAGCAAAUAACAGAAGAAGUAAAGGAAGCCAAACAACAUCAAAAUUUAAAACCAACCAACUAGUCAUGUGUGGUGCCUCAUGCCUGUUGUCUCAGCACUUUGGGAAGCUGAGGUGCAAGGAUCGCUUGAGGCCAGGAGUCUGAGACCAGCCUAAGCAACAUAGCAAGACCCUGUCUCUACAAGAAAAAAAUAAAAAUAAAAAUUAGCUAGGUGUACUGUGUACCUGUAGUCCCAGCUACUUAGGAGGCUAAAGCAAGAUGAUCUUUUGAGUCCAGGAGUUUGAGGCUACAGUGAGCUGGGAUUGCAACCUCACUCCAGCCUGUGCAAGAGAGCAAGACCGUGUCUCAAUAAACAAAAACAGAAAUAAAACAAAAAAAACAAGUAACCAGUCACCACCACCGUCACCACCACCACCGUCACCACCACCACCAUAACAACAACAGAAAAUGCAUGGUUUCAAUCACCACCCAUUUGUAGAGAACUUUUGAUUCAUAGACCCAGGCCAGAUCUCUCCCCGCCUGAACUAUAAACUUGUGUACUUCUUUUGCCCCCUUGACAUUUCUAUCUGCAUAUCUCACUGAAAAUUUUAUUUCUAUAUACAUAUCUAACUGAAAAUGCUUAAAACUGAACAAAUUUCUACACAAAUUCUGUUCUAUUAUUCAUGUUACCUUAUUUCGGUGAAUGACAAAAACAAGACAAAAAUAUGGGGAUUAUUUUCAACUCCCCUUUUUGCCACACCUUUUAUAAUGAAUCACUUCCUAAGUCUUUAUGAUCUAACUUUUCAGAAUUCUCAAAUCUUUCUCCUUACUUUUAUCUCCAAUUGCAACAUAUAUAUUAGUGUGUGUAUGUAUGCGUACUACCAUCAUCCUUGCAGCUGACUUCUUAAUGAUGCUACUAUUUGCUGAUCAAUGGAUUUUCUAUAUGGCAGUUUCAAAUGUGAGUGGGACUCUUUGCUCUUCUGCUUAUGACUCCACAGGGUUCCAGUUGCCCUCCAGGUAAAGUCUAACUCACUAAUAUGGAUUGCAAGUCUUGAUGAGAUCAGAACCCUGACGAUUUUCUCGUUUCACUUUUACUCUGUUCACUGGCCUCCCCUUAAUCUCUAAUUCAGUAUUCUCAAUCCUGACUGCACCUUAAGAUCAUCUGGAGAAAAAAAAAUGCUUCUCCACCCCUCACCCUCAUACAAAUGAUGAUUUAAUUAGUCUGAGAUAAGGUUAUUAAUCAGUAGUUCAAAAAAAUUGCCACAGAUGUUUCUACUAUGCAACUACAUCCAAACACACAAAGAGCUCUCUUGUCUCUAGCUUCUUUCUACUAAGAACCCUCUUUUUACCUGUUUUACUACUCCUGUCUGUGUCUCAGAUAGAGACUUUAUUCAUUAAAUAUUGGCUACAUGUGUUCAGACAGGCAUUUAGGCAGGUUGGGUAUGGAGAGAAAUAACAAAGUGUGCUGAAAGAGAAUAAAAAAGAUCUGGAUUUGAAUCUUCAUUCUGAUAGAUAGUAGAUAUGUUCAGAACAUUACUGAAACACAGUAAACCUUGGGUUCAUUAUUUGUAAAUUGCAGAGAAUACUAUCUACUGCACAGAGUUUCUUUGAUAAUUAAAUUUGAUAGCAUAUGUACAUUUCAGAAAACAGGGACUACAGGAAUACAACUUUAGUAAAGAACACUGGCUUUGGAACCAUCUAACACUCAUAAUCAAGUUUUAAGUCAUAUGCUUAAUAACAAUAUCACCUACUUUAAAAGUUGCUUAAACUCUCUUGGCCUUAGUAUUUGUAACCUUAAAUUAGGAAUGAUAUUACCAAAGUUAAAGUUCAUAACAAAAAUUCAGAUAGAUAUGGAGGACAUUUGUAACACAUAAAAAUUCUCUUGAUACUCUCUUCUGUGUAUGCAUUAGGCUUGAAUAAAAAGUUUAAAGUCUGUAUAAAUUCUAGAUAUUAUAAUAAUUAUAAUAGAAUCCAUUAUUAUUAACAUUAUUAUUUUCUCAUUUGUAAAAUUUACUCCUUUUCAUAACCUUGUUCAUUUCCUGUAAGUACCUAUAAAAUAUCAGUUACUUAUUUUAUGUAACACUUCCCACUAUAAUGGGAAGCCUUUCUUCAGCAACUAAUGUUUUAACUUAGUGUUGGAACCUCCAAACAACUAUGUGGAUGAUCAAUGCUAGGCCCUGUAUUGACUCUUUUUUGAAGGUUCUUCUUGUCUCAUUUUAUCUGACCACUCAGGCUGGAAACUGGAGACCCUUGCAAUAUUACUCUGAUAUUAAUCCCAUCUAGAAAUCAUGUUGAGUCAUAAAAUGCAAGUCAUUCUUCAAAUUACUCGAUGUCAAAAGAUUCUUCUAUAUUGGGUCUGAUGUCACAUGUGAUGAAAUUAGUUGGCUAUAUUUUCUGGAUGUGAAGUCAUACAUUGAUCAUGCCCUUGACACAUACUGAGUAGUCUCAUUUUUCUGGAUUUAUAGUUUUUGGAAAAUACAAAUACAUUCAAUAUUCCAUAUAUCAAAAUAUGUGAAGAAAACUGGUGUUAAUAACUUAUACAGGGAUUAAUUUCUGUAAGUGUUCAUCACAAAAUAGCACUUCAAGAUGGGGGGUUAUUCAUUAAAUGGAAGGUAUGCUUAGCCAAUUUGUAAAUGACAAUUGUUUGAAAGAUAUAGAGGACAUGGAUAGCUCUCAGACUCAGUAUGCAGAUAAAUAGGAAGAAAGUGGAGCAGAGAUAAAUUGUUUGUAACAGAAAAACACCUAGUAGAAAUAAAUUCAAAUUCUUUCUUUUAAAUGCAAAGAACUAAUUCCACAAGAACUGUUUAUGGAGUUGUCACUAAGCAGAAUCACUGAUGGAAAGGGAUGUGAUUAGUUGACAUAAGCUCACCAUAUCAAUUGUGCAGUCUGCCACAAAGAGAACAGGGAUAGGUCUUUAUUGUAUCCUCUGCUGGCUUAUUACAUUAUUUUAUUUAAUCCUCACAAUAAUG
rnacentral:lncRNA from 1 species